UCCUUUUCUUUCUUUCUUUUCUUUUCUUUUCUCUUAUAUUCUUCUCCUCCCUUCUUAUUUAUUUAUUUUUAUUUUAUUUCAUUGAAAUAUAUUUAGUUAUUAUCUUAAUUAUUUAUUUAUUUCUUUAUUCAUUCAUUCAUAGAUAUAAUUAUGUAUACAUUUAUUUAUUUAUUUAUUUCUUUUUUUCUUUUUUUCUUCCUUUUUCUUCUUUUUUUUUCUUUUCUGUUUUCUUCUCUUCCUCUCCUCCCUUCUUAUUUAUUUAUUUAUUAUUUUAUUUCAUUGAGAUAUAUUUAGUUAUUAUCUUAAUUAUUUAUUUUUUUAUUCGUUCAUCGUAAAUAUAUUUAUUUAUUUAUUUAUUUAUUU
rnacentral:lncRNA from 1 species